GUGCCAGCAGCCGCGGUAAUUCCAGCUCCAAUAGCGUAUAUUAAAGUUGUUGUGGUUAAAAAGCUCGUAGUUGAACCUUGGGCCUGGCUGGCCGGUCCGCCUCACCGCGUGCACUGGUCCGGCCGGGCCUUUCCCUCUGUGGAACCCCAUACCCUUCACUGGGCGUGGCGGGGAAACAGGACAUUUACUUUGAAAAAAUUAGAGUGCUCCAGGCAGGCCUAUGCUCGAAUACAUUAGCAUGGAAUAAUAAAAUAGGACGCGCGGUUCUAUUUUGUUGGUUUAUAGGACCGCCGUAAUGAUUAAUAGGGACAGUCGGGGGCAUCAGUAUUCAACUGUCAGAGGUGAAAUUCUUGGAUCAGUUGAAGACUAACUACUGCGAAAGCAUUUGCCAAGGAUGUUUUCAUUAAUCAGGAACGAAAGUUAGGGGAUCGAAGACGAUCAGAUACCGUCGUAGUCUUAACCAUAAACUAUGCCGACUAGGGAUCGGACGGUGUUAUUCAUGACCCGUUCGGCACCUUACGAGAAAUCAAAGUGCUUGGGCUCCAGGGGGAGUAUGGUCGCAAGGCUGAAACUUAAAGAAUUGACGGAAGGGCACCACCAGGGUGGAGCCUGCGGCUUAAUUUGACUCAACACGGGGAAACUCACCAGGUCCAGACACAAUAAGGAUUGACAGAUUGAGAGCUCUUUCUUGAUUUUGUGGGUGGUGGUGCAUGGCCGUUCUUAGUUGGUGGGGUGACUUGUCUGGCUUAAUUGCGAUAACGAAACGAGACCUUAACUGCUAAAUAGCCCCGCAUUGCUCCCGGCAGU
rnacentral:rRNA from 1 species